CCCCUGUGAGGGGGCAGUGGGGCCUGCUACCCCGCCUCUGAAAGAUGUAACAACCAGAAGAAGUGUCCAGACGGUUCUGAUGAAAACAACUGUUUUGACUGCCAGCCGGGUAACUUCCACUGUGGCACCAACCUGUGUAUCUUCGAGACGUGGCACUGUGAUGGCCAGGAGGACUGUCUGGAUGGUAGUGACGAGAGAGACUGUUUGGGAGCUGUACCCAGGAAGGUGAUCACUGCUGCCCUGAUUGGUUCUCUGGUCUGUGGCCUCCUCCUUGUCAUCGCUCUGGGCUGUGCCUUCAAACUCUACUCCCUCCGGACAAGAGA